CCAGCCUGCUUCUCCAGGUUCAUCUCUCUGUAGGUGAUGGCUUUGUUAUGGAAAGUUUGGCUCCAUCUAGUAGGCAAUACCAGCGUGACCCCACCACCUCGUCCCUACUCACUGCGUGGCGUCAUUAGAAAGCGCCCUACAACGGCUAUUAUAGCGUUAUUUUUUUAUUUACCUCAAGCUGCGUCCCGCAAUGGAAGUAAACAGGGACGAAGCAGAGCGUUGCAUUGACAUUGCAACUGCUGCAUUAACAAAUAAUCAAGCAGAGAAGGCUGUUAGGUUUCUAGAAAAGGCACAGAAACUUUUUCCGACGGAUAAGGCGAGAGCACUGCUGGACUUGAUUGCAAAAAAUGGUUUCACCCCUGGUCACGACAACCAGUCAGGAGGAACCAGUGAUGGCACUGGGCCGAGGCAGCGAAGACCUGGGGAGGAGGACCAAGGAGAGAAGGCCUCGCAGACAGCCAAAUCCUACACCUCAGAUCAACUGGAUGCUGUCAAGAAAAUAAAACAGUGUAAAGACUUCUAUGAGAUUCUUGGAGUGAAGAAAGAUGCGUCCGAAGAUGAUCUCAAGAAGUCAUAUCGAAAAUUAGCGUUGAAAUUCCAUCCCGACAAAAACCACGCACCGGGUGCCACUGAGGCGUUUAAAGCUAUUGGAAAUGCCUAUGCCUGCCUGAGUAAUGCUGACAAGAGGAAACAGUAUGACCAGUGUGGUGAGGAGAAGAGGCAUCCGUCAAGACAGGGCCAGACCAACGGCGACUUCCAGGCCGAUAUUUCACCCGAGGACCUCUUCAAUAUGUUCUUCGGAGGGGGUUUUCCAGCAAGCAACGUUCAUGUAUACAGAAAUGGGCAUCAGAGGCCAGCGGGGCAACGGGGACAACAGAGAGAGGGAGGCUUUGCGCUCUUUGUCCAGCUGCUGCCCAUCGUCAUCCUAGUGGUUGUGUCAGCUCUCAGUCAGAUGAUGGUCUCCGCCGCCCCCUACAGCCUCAGCUUCAGGCCGUCUAUUGGACACACCCACAAGAGGUACACGGAGACCUUGAGGGUGCCGUACUAUGUGGGAGACCACUUCUCCAGGGAGUACAACGGACUGAACCUGAAGACUGUGGAGAGGAGUGUGGAGGAUGACUACAUCUCCAACCUCAGAAACAACUGCUGGAAGGAGAAACAACAGAGUUUCAAUUUCCUACAGUUUCAUGUUUUUGCUCUCAAUCAAGUCCACAACACUGCUUAAACCACAUCAGGAGAACACUUAAGAGGAGGGCCUGCUGUAUCGAGCUCGCUAUUUUGGAGACAAUGAGUUGUACCAGAGGGCUCAGAAGAUGGGCACACCGAGCUGCUCCAGGCUGUCUGACAUCUCCGUUUCCUUGGGUGGUUAAAUAUAAAGGAAGGCUGUUGAUCGCCACACUGAUAGGUAGUUAUAUCGAAACCGCAAAAACAAAACAAUUUUAUUGCCUGUAAAUACGUACGCUUUUCAACAUUCGGGACUGUGACUUCACUGCACACCAAAACUCGGACAGACUCUCUCUCUCUCCUUGAGUUGGAGAUCUCGUAUGGCGAAGAAGAGGAGAAUGACCUAAAGUCUUGUUGAGGAAGAAUGAAAGCCCUCUGUGUUGAUGAUCAUGGUGAUGUGUCAUGAAGUGACUGUGCUCUGUUACAAGCUGACUGUUUUACAAAUGCACUGUUAGGGACUCCUGCUUUUACCCUCUUACGUCCUAAAUGCCACACUAUUUACUAUAUAGUGCACUACUUUUUUUUUUUUUUUUUUAAUCCGGGCCCAUAGGGCUCUGGUCACAAGUAGUGCAGCAUAUAGAGAAUAGGGUGCUAUUUUAGGAUGCACCCUCAAGUCAGAUGAUGUAAGGGCGGUGUUAUAAUCAGGAAAUACUCCGAUCAGAAGUGGUUCGUUAUAGAUGUCCUCCUUUAGCAAGUGAUACUUCCGAGAUAUUCAUAUUUUAUUUGGAUCUGGUGAAAACAUCGAAGACAGUUGGUUUCCUGAUUUUAUACUUUAUACGUAAAUUAUGAUUUUCACUAUGCAGGGAUUAUAUAUAUUCUCCUAUCAGAGUCAGUAAGGUAAACAUACACCUCUCGGAGACUUGUACUGAGCAAUUUUAAUUUUUCAGACCUAUGUAUUUACAAUGAGUGAACCCAGUGACUGAGAAAGUAAUUUUAUUUAUUGUUGGAAUUCUAAAAUAUAAAAAUGUUUUUAAUCAAGAUUUUCUUCAUUAGAACACAACGGCUAUCUAAUAAAGUAGGUCUUGCUCACGAUGACACGUCCAUAUUAUGUUUUUACUCAAACAGGGAAAAUAAAUAUUCUACGUGCCCCAUC